CACACCGCCCGUCGCACCAUGGGAGUUGGCUUUACCCGAAGGCGGUGCGCUAACCAGCAAUGGAGGCAGCCGACCACGGUAGGGUCAGCGACUGGGGUG
rnacentral:rRNA from 1 species